rnacentral:rRNA from 1 species
GACGAACGCUGGCGGCGUGCUUAACACAUGCAAGUCGAACGGAGAAUUUUGCUUUGGUAGAAUUCUUAGUGGCGAACGGGUGAGUAACGCGUAGACAACCUACCUCUCAGAUGGGGACAACAUCGCGAAAGCGGUGCUAAUACCGAAUGAUGUAACUUUUCUGCAUGGAAGAGUUACCAAAGGCGGCCUCUAUUUAUAAGCUGUCACUGAGAGAUGGGUCUGCGUCUGAUUAGCUAGUUGGCGGGGUAAUGGCCCACCAAGGCGACGAUCAGUAGCCGGUCUGAGAGGAUGAACGGCCACAUUGGGACUGAGACACGGCCCAAACUCCUACGGGAGGCAGCAGUGGGGAAUCUUCCGCAAUGGACGAAAGUCUGACGGAGCAACGCCGCGAGAGUGAAGAAGGUUUUCGGAUCGUAAAGCUCUGUUGUUUGAGACGAAUGUGCAAUUUUUGAAUAAGGAAUUGUAAUGACGGUAUUAAACGAGAAAGCCACGGCUAACUACGUGCCAGCAGCCGCUGUAAUAC